rnacentral:rRNA from 1 species
UGGGGAAUAUUGCACAAUGGGCGCAAGCCUGAUGCAGCCAUGCCGCGUGUGUGAAGAAGGCCUUCGGGUUGUAAAGCACUUUCAGCGGGGAGGAAGGCGAUAAGGUUAAUAACCUCAUCGAUUGACGUUACCCGCAGAAGAAGCACCGGCUAACUCCGUGCCAGCAGCCGCGGUAAUACGGAGGGUGCAAGCGUUAAUCGGAAUUACUGGGCGUAAAGCGCACGCAGGCGGUCUGUCAAGUCGGAUGUGAAAUCCCCGGGCUCAACCUGGGAACUGCAUUCCAAACUGGCAGGCUAGAGUCUUGUAGAGGGGGGUAGAAUUCCAGGUGUAGCGAUGAAAUGCGUAUAGAUCUGGAGGAAUACCGGUGGCGAAGGCGGCCCCCUGGACAAAGACUGACGCUCAGGUGCGAAAGCGUGGGGAGCAAACAGG